rnacentral:rRNA from 1 species
UGCCUACGGGACGCAGCAGUGGGGAAUAUUGCACAAUGGGGGGAACCCUGAUGCAGCGACGCCGCGUGAGUGAAGAAGUAUUUCGGUAUGUAAAGCUCUAUCAGCAGGGAAGAUAAUGACGGUACCUGACUAAGAAGCCCCGGCUAACUACGUGCCAGCAGCCGCGGUAAUACGUAGGGGGCAAGCGUUAUCCGGAUUUACUGGGUGUAAAGGGUGCGUAGGUGGCAGGGCAAGUCAGAUGUGAAAGCCCGGGGCCCAACCCAGGGACUGCAUCUGAAUCUGUCAGGCUGGAGUGCAGGAGAGGG